AUGACAUGUGCUGUGGUUGAAAGUCGAUGUCAGUCGCAGACCAAGCGAUCCACGUAAGGCAUCCAAAGCGAUGCUGAUCAUAGUGCGGCCUAGAAGUAAGACCUGCCGCGUAAAAAAACGCGAGAGGGCCAGUAGUGGGGGGACAAGACGUCUAUGAAGCGAACGUCCCMGCAGGCGAGUGUGGGGGUAAAGACCAGGUCAGGCAUGUCGG
rnacentral:ncRNA from 1 species